CCUACGGGAGGCAGCAGUGGGGAAUUUUGGACAAUGGGGGAAACCCUGAUCCAGCAAUGCCGCGUGAGUGAAGAAGGCCUUCGGGUUGUAAAGCUCUUUUGUCAGGGAAGAAACACCGGCUCUAACACAGUCCGGGAAUGACGGUACCUGAAGAAUAAGCACCGGCUAACUACGUGCCAGCAGCCGCGGUAAUACGUAGGGUGCAAGCGUUAAUCGGAAUUACUGGGCGUAAAGCGUGCGCAGGCGGUUAUACAAGACAGGCGUGAAAUCCCCGGGCUUAACCUGGGAAUGGCGCCUGUGACUGUAUAGCUAGAGUGUGUCAGAGGGGGGUAGAAUUCCACGUGUAGCAGUGAAAUGCGUAGAUAUGUGGAGGAAUACCAAUGGCGAAGGCAGCCCCCUGGGAUAACACUGACGCUCAUGCACGAAAGCGUGGGGAGCAAACAGGAUUAGAUACCCUGGUAGUCCACGCCCUAAACGAUGCUGACUAGUUGUUCGGGAUUUACAUCCUGAGUAACGUAGCUAACGCGUGAAGUCAGCCGCCUGGGGAGUACGGUCGCAGAUUAAAACUAGAAAGUAGUAGACGNGUAGAGUAGCGAGAGACACGAGGAGGAGAGG
rnacentral:rRNA from 1 species